CGGCCGCGGUAUUUUGACCGUGCAAAGGUAGCGUAAUCACUUGUCUUUUAAAUGAAGACCUGUAUGAAUGGCAUCACGAGGGCUUAACUGUCUCCUUUUUCUAAGUCAGUGAAAUUGAUCUCCCCGUGCAGAAGCGGGGAUAAAAACAUAAGACGAGAAGACCCUAUGGAGCUUUAGACACCAGAAUAGCGCAUGUUAAGACACCCUAAAUAAAGGACUGAACUUAAUGACCCCUCUAUUCCAAUGUCUUCGGUUGGGGCGACCAUGAGGAACAAAAACCCCUCAUGUGGAAUGGGAGUACCACAACCCACACACUAUUUUUCCUACACUCCUACAACCAAGAGCUACAACUCAAACUAACAGAAAUUCUGACCAACAAUGAUCCGGCAAUACCGAUCAACGGACCAAGUUACCCUAGGGAUAACAGCGCAAUCCCCUUUUAGAGCCCAUAUCGACAAGGGGGUUUACGACCUCGAUGUUGGAUCAGGACAUCC
rnacentral:rRNA from 1 species